AUUGCUUUGUACCUUCCCAUCCCUCUUAGUCCAAAAACACAGUCAUAUGUCUAGCCCACAACAUGUGUUAAAACAUAACUUUUAAUAAAUAUCAUUAAGAAAGAGAAAUAUUAAACUUAUGUUUUAACACAUGUUGUGGGGUAGACAUAUGACUGUGUUUUUGGACUAAGAGGGAUGGGAAGGUGCAAAGCAAU
rnacentral:pre_miRNA from 1 species